rnacentral:lncRNA from 1 species
UUACAAAAAUAUGAAGCCAUUUGGAAAAGCUAGCAACCACAUGGAUGGAGGGAAACAAUUAAAAAUAUAAGAAUCAUAUAUUCAAGACCAAAGAUCGUAUGUCAUGAGAAGCAGCAUGAUAAGAUGGAAGCAGCUGAAUGCAUAAAACUGAGAUGAAAUAAUUUGUCCAAAGUUGCACAUUUGGACAGCUUUCAGAUUCAGGAAAAACAGGAGGCUGAAGAGGAUUCAAACCAAAGCUAUUUUAAGUGUAAGAAUCUAGGCAGAUAAAUAAGAACAUGUUUUUUAACUUACUUAAAUUGUGCGCAUCUGCAUUUAUUUGUUUUCAGAUUUUUUAGGUUCUGUGGGUGGUAGCCCAGGAUAAAACACACACAGACAUUUGCUUUGGGACUGCACAGCACAAAUAGCAUUACUACGGCAGAAAGGAA